GUCAGGCAUCUUAUGAGGCUGAUGUGAUCUCCCCCAUUUUACAGAUGAAGACACUGAGGUCCAGAGAGGAAACUUGCCAAGCUCAGAGCUGCCAAGUAUGGUUGUGCAGGUUGUGUCAUGCACAAAGAUACCAGGCCGAAGUGGGGAAGCGGGGGUGAAUUCCAGCGAGCCUUCUGCUUGCCCAGCCAUGUGUCCUAGACCAGGAAGUAUCAAAGGGGAGCCUGUUUCUUAUUUAUACAAAGGUGACAUGAGCUAGGGAUGCCGAUGCCCUGCUCAAGGGUGCACAGUGACUCUGUCACAGAACUGAAAUUUGAAACCAAAUUGGGGAUUCUCUCCCAGAGUUCAUUUUUUUUUUUUUUUUUUUUUUGAGAUGGAGUCUUGCUCUGUCGCCCAGGCUGGAGUGCAGUGGUGCGAUCUCGGCUCACUGCAAGCUCUGCCUCCUGGGUUCAUGCCAUUCUCCUGCCUCAGACUCCUGAGUAGCUGGGACUACAGGCGCCCGCCACCACACCCGGCUAAUUUUUUGUAUUUUUAGUAGAGAUGGGGUUUCACCGUGUUAGCCAGGAUGGUCUCAAUCCCCUGACCUUGUGAUCCGCCCGCCUCGGCCUCCCAAAGUGCUGGGAUUACAGGCGUGAGCCACCAUGCCCGGCCGCCAGAGUUCUUUUUAGCCUGACCGACAGCCCAUCCAAAGUUGAACCAGCCAAAUCCUCGAUGCAUGAAGCUUCAGGGUCUCCUUUGCCCCAGCCUGGCCCCGUCAGAUAUCUGAGUCCAAAGGAGGUUGAAGGAGGCUCUUGAGCAUCAGCUCAGCUGGAAAGAACUUUGGAGACCUCCUCCCAUUCUACAGGGGCCUUUUGGGGCAAACCUCUGUCACUCCCCUUCCUGGUGCAUAAACUACUCACCCCUCCCUGGAGCUCCUCAAGCCCCUGCCUCAGCCCAAGCCCACUUGGACCUGGACCUGUCACUGGAUUCAUUCACACGGGCCAAGCCUUCCCAUUGGCCCAUGUCUGAGGCCAUCACCUCUAUGGCCAGUGCACAGGGGAGGACGCUGCACCAGUUUAGGAACUGCACUAACCACAAGGAGAGUAAGAAGCAGGAGUGAAAUGGCCAAAGGCUGGAUUCAGGAAGUGGAGAAGGCAAACUCCACGUGGGCAGGGAUCCUGUUUUAUCAUCUCUGCUUCCUCACUGCACAGAACAGUGCCGGGCACAACUCAAUGCGGAGUUGCUGCCUAAGCCUGUGACCCUGAGAACGCAGGUGCUGCCAGAAUGGAACCCUUAGAGCGAGCUGGACUCUGGCGGCACACAUGGCCUGUGAGGACCCCUUCUCUGUCUCCCACAGCCCCUCAAUGGCCUCCCGUUUCCAUUUUU